rnacentral:rRNA from 1 species
AGAGUUUGAUCAUGGCUCAGGACGAACGCUGGCGGCGUGCCUAACACAUGCAAGUCGAACGAAGUAUGUUUUUCGGAAUGUAUUUAGUGGCGGACGGGUGAGUAACGCGUGAAUAAUCUGCCCUGUACAAAGGAAUAGCCUCGGGAAACUGGGAUUAAAACCGUAUAACACUUUUGAGCCGCAUGGCUUAGAAGUCAAAUUGAUUAAGAGGUAUGGGAUGAGUUCGCGUCUGAUUAGCUAGUUGGUAAGGUAAAGGCUUACCAAGGCGACGAUCAGUAGCCGGCCCGAGAGGGUGAUCGGCCACACUGGAACUGAGACACGGUCCAGACUCCUACGGGAGGCAGCAGUGGGGAAUAUUGCACAAUGGAGGAAACUCUGAUGCAGCGACGCCGCGUGAGUGAAGAAGGUCUUCGGAUCGUAAAACUCUGUCCUUGGUGAAGAAAGAAAUGACGGUAGCCAAGGAGGAAGCCCCGGCUAACUACGUGCCAGCAGCCGCGGUAAUACGUAGGGG